GCGUUGUCCGGAAUUAUUGGGCGUAAAGAGCUCGUAGGCGGUUUGUUGCGUCUAUCGGGAAAACCUGCAGCUUAACUGUGGGCUUGCGGUGGAUACGGGCAGACUUGAGUUCGGUAGGGGAGACUGGAAUUCCUGGUGUAGCGGUGAAAUGCGCAGAUAUCAGGAGGAACACCGGUGGCGAAGGCGGCAUCCUGGACCGGCAUUGAUGCUGAGGCGCGAAAGCCAGGGGAGCAAACGGG
rnacentral:rRNA from 1 species